rnacentral:rRNA from 1 species
AUUGAACGCUGGCGGCAGGCCUAACACAUGCAAGUCGAACUAAUGUCGGACGGGUGAGUAAUGUCUGGGACACUGCCUGAUGGAGGGGGAUAACUACUGGAAACGGUAGCUACUACCGCAUACCCGCGAAUGUACCCACAUGUGAUGAGCUAGUAGGUGGGGUAAAGGCUCCCCAAGACGACGAUCCCUAGCUGGUCUGAGAGGAUGACCAGCCACACUGGAGCUGAGUCCCGGUCCAGACUCCUACGGGAGGCCGCAGUGGGGAAUAUUGCACCAUGGGCGGAAGCCUGAUGCAGCCAUGCCGCGUGUAUGAAGAUGGCCUUCGGGUUGUAAAGUACUUUCAGCGGGGAGGUGUUACCCGCAGAAGAAGCACCGGCUAACUCCGGGCCAGCAGCCGCGGUAAUUC